NNNNNNNNNNNNNNNNNNNNNNNNNNNNNNNNNNCACAUCUGUAGCCUCAGCCAAUUUACCCUGGAGGAAAAUUCCUUCCCGACCCCAAAUAUGGCGAUCAGUAAGACCCCGAGCAUGUAGGCAAGAGUCUCUAGUCUGACCCCUGUUGGCCAUUAUACUAUUUACGUACCAUUGCUUGGUUUUCCUUGGCUACUAUGUUUUACCAUUAAACCAUUCCCUCCAUAAACUUAUCUAACUUAAUCUUAAAAGCAGACAGGUCCCUCGCCCCCACCGUUUCCCUCGGAAGGCUGUUCCAAUAUUUCACCCCUCUGACGGUCCACCUCAGCCAGGCGCAACACCUGCCUAGCACCACCACCUGACGAACCUGCCAAUGACACAAGACACGAGGCAGCACUGUCACACUUGCAGGAUCAAUCAAGUCCUGCUCCUAUCCCAGUAGAGCCGGAAGUAACGCCUGAAGAAGCCUUACUUCCCCCUCCUCCAACAUCGUCAGAUGACUUCUCAAAAUUUCAAGACCUUUUUAAAAGAGUUGCCAAUGAGUUGAGAAUUAACUUGGAGGAAGUUCCCGAACAACAGCAUGAGUUAACGGACAUCCUACAACCCUCUUCUUCCUCUAGGGUGGCAUUACCAAUCAACGUAGCCCUUUUAGAACCUGCUAAGUCCAUCUGGCAGACUCCAGCUACAAGCCUACCUACCUGUAAGCAAGCGGACCGCAAGUACUUCAUCCCUUCUAAGGGCUCUGAAUUCGUUUUUACCCAUCCAGCACCAAACUCGUUGGUAGUAGACGCAGCCAACCAGAGGACCAAACAGCAGUAUUCCCGCUCCACCCCGUCCAACAAGGAAAGUAAACGCUUGGACCUCUUUGGUCGUAAAGUAUAUGCAUCUUCAAUGCUACAAUUCCGUAUUGCUAAUUAUACUGCAGUUCUUGCAAAAUAUGACCACAGAAACUAUAACAAAUUCAUGGAAUUUAUUGAUGACAUUCCAGAACAAAAGAAACAACAAUUCACAGCUCUAGUUUCCAAGGGACAAAUCAUAUCACGUACCGCUCUUCAAGCGACCCUCGAUGCAGCCAAUAUUGCAGCAAGAUCCACUGCCACAGCAGUGGUUAUGCGCCGAGGUUCAUGGCUCUCCUCCUCUUUCUUUCCUCGAGAGGUCCAGAGUA
rnacentral:lncRNA from 1 species